rnacentral:sRNA from 1 species
CUUGGUCAUUUAGAGGAAGUAAAAGUCAUAACAAGGUUUCCGUAGGUGAACCUGCGGAAGGAUCAUUAAUAGUGCCCUCUGAUGCAAAUCAUUGGGUUAGAUCUGCUCUCUUCGCAAGAAGAGGGUUUCCAUACACACCGUGAACUGUGGCUUCGGCCAUCACAAACUGUUAGUAAUGAAUGUAAUAUCAUAACAAAAACAAAACUUUUAACAACGGAUCUCUUGGCUCUCGCAUCGAUGAAGAACGCAGCGAAAUGCGAUAAGUAAUGUGAAUUGCAGAAUUCAGUGAAUCAUCGAAUCUUUGAACGCACCUUGCGCCCUUUGGUAUUCCGAAGGGCAUGCCUGUUUGAGUGUCAUGAAACCUCACCCCACUUGGGUUUUUGCCUGAGCGGUGGUGUAUUGGGUGUUGCCUUGCUAAAGGCUCGCCUUAAAGACAUAAGCACCUUGGAUGUAAUACGUUUCAUCCUUCUGGGUGGCUGAUAACCCCACAUAUUCAUGAUCUGGCCUCAAAUCAGGUAGGGCUACCCGCUGAACUUAAGCAUAUCAAUAAGCGGAGGAAAAGAAACUAACUAGGAUUCCCUUAGUAACGGCGAGUGAACCGGGAUGAGCUCAAAUUUAAAAUCUGGCGUCUUUCAGGCGUCCGAGUUGUAAUCUAUAGAGGCGUUUUCCGCGCCGGACCGCGUCCAAGUCUCUUGGAAUAGAGUAUCAAAGAGGGUGACAAUCCCGUACUUGACGCGACAACCGGUGCUCUGUGAUACGUUCUCAAUGAGUCGAGUUGUUUGGGAAU